rnacentral:rRNA from 1 species
GACGGAGGGCGCAAGCGUUGUUCGGAAUUACUGGGCGUAAAGCGCACGCAGGCGGUUUGCUCAGUCCUUUGUGAAAGCCCGGGGCUCAACCCCGGAAUUGCAUAGGAUACUGGUAGACUUGAGACUGGUAGAGGCUAGCGGAAUUCCUGGUGUAGCGGUGGAAUGCGUAGAUAUCAGGAAGAACACCUGUGGCGAAGGCGGCUAGCUGGGCCAGUUCUGACGCUCAUGUGCGAAAGCGUGGGGAGCAAACAGGAUUAGAUACCCCGGUA